rnacentral:rRNA from 1 species
AUUGAACGCUAGCGGGAUGCUUUACACAUGCAAGUCGAACGAGUGGCGGACUGGUGAGUAAUAUAUUGGAACGUGCCCAGUAGCGGGGUAUAACUACUCGAAAGCUUGGCUAAUACUGCUUACUAUUGUAGCGGCCGAUGUCGGAUUAGCUAGUUGGUGGGGUAAAGGCUCACCAAGGCAACGAUCCGUAGCUGGUUCGAGAGGACGACCAGCCACACUGGGACUGAGACACGGCCCAGACUCCUACGGGAGGCAGCAGUAGGGAAUUUUGGGCAAUGGGGGAAACCCUGAUCCAGCAAUCCCGCGUGUGUGAGAAGGCCUUCGGGUUGUAAAGUACUUUUGGCAGAGAAGCGGUAUCUACAGAAUAAGCACCGGCUAACUACGUGCCAGCAGCCGCGGUAAUAC